UUUAAUUCGAUGAUACGCGAGGAACCUUACCCGGGCUUGAAAUGCAUCUGACCGGCCUUGAAAGAGGCACUCCCUUCGGGGCAGAUGUGUAGGUGCUGCAUGGUUAUCGUCAGCUCGUGCCGUGAGGUGUCGGCUUAAGUGCCAUAACGAGCGCAACCCUCAUCAUUAGUUACCAUCAGGUAAGGCUGGGGACUCUAAUGAGACUGCCAUCGUAAGAUGUGAGGAAGGUGGGGAUGACGUCAAAUCAGCACGGCCCUUACGUCCGGGGCGACACACGUGUUACAAUGGGUGGUACAAAGGGCAGCUACCUGGCGACAGGAUGCUAAUCUCGAAAACCGCUCUCAGUUCGGAUCGGAGUCUGCAACUCGACUCCGUGAAGCUGGAUUCGCUAGUAAUCGCGCAUCAGCCACGGCGCGGUGAAUACGUUCCCGGGCCUU
rnacentral:rRNA from 1 species